UACAGAGGUCUCAAGCGUUGUUCGGAUUCAUUGGGCGUAAAGGGCGCGUAGGCGGCGGGGUAAGUCGGGUGUGAAAUCUCAGAGCUCAACUCUGAAACUGCACUCGAUACUGCUCUGCUUGAGGACUGGAGAGGAGACUGGAAUUCUCGGUGUAGCGGUGAAAUGCGUAGAUAUCGAGAGGAACACCUGCGGCGAAGGCGGGUUGCUGGGCCGACACUGACGCUGAUGCGCGAAAGCCAGGGGAGCGAACGGG
rnacentral:rRNA from 1 species